AACGACCCACCUGUUAUUCAUCUCCUUCCUGAAACCAUGCCCCGGGGCGCUGUCAUUGUUGCCGUUGCAGUCUCCACAUGCACCGCCUCCCCUUUCCUAUCCUCUCUCUGCUCCAUGGAGCCGUCGUCGCCUGCCGUGUUUCUCGAACAGGCCGCCGUCCAAGGGAGGCGCUGGGGACCGAGCCUAGCCCCACGGGAGCGCCUCAUCUACUCUCUCUCUGAUCCCACCGAUGCCCUCUUCAGCUCCUCCUCCUCCUCUUCUCCCCUACCCCUAGCCGAGGACAAAUCACAGUACCUUGGACCUGGAGUGGUAAUCUGACAUUUGGGAGGGCUGGUGUGUCGUUGAUUGCAUAAAGUUUAUGCAUGGAACAAGCUAUUUUUUCUUUUAUGAUGCAGGCAUGCUUUGUACGUAUGUCGCUGCAGAUUAUAUUAAUGUAUCAGUGGUACUAUGCAUCUAUUUGCAAUACAUGGUAUGAUGGAAAA